rnacentral:rRNA from 1 species
CGAAUGGCUCAUUACAACAGCCAUAGUUUAUUAGAUCUUACUCUACUUGGAUACCUGUGGUAACCUAAGAGCUAAUACAUGCAAUCAAGUCCUGACCUUUCGGGAAGGACGCAUUUAUUAGAACAAAACCAAUCGGGCUUUGCCCGUAGUUUGGUGAAUCUGAAUAACUAUGCUGAUCGCACAGUCCUCGAACUGGCGACGUUUCUUUCAAAUGUCUGGCUUAUCAACUUUCGACGGUAGUAUACACGACUACCGUGGUAUCCACGGGUGACGGAGAAUUAGGGUUCGACUCCGGAGAGGGAGCCUGAGAAACGGCUACCACAUCCAAGGAAGGCAGCAGGCACGCAAAUUACCCACUCCCGGCACGGGGAGGUAGUGACGAAAAAUAACGAGACGGUUCUCUAAGAGGCCCGUCAUCGAAAUGGGUACAGUUUAAACCCCUUAACGAGGAUCUAUUGGAGGGCAAGUCUGGUGCCAGCAGCCGCGGUAAUUCCAGCUCCAAAAGCGUAUAUUAAAGUUGUUGCGGUUAAAAAGCUCGUAGUUGGAUCUACGCCAUUGGUUGGCGGUCUCCCAGAAGGGCAGUACUGCCGUACCAGGGCUAUUUUUCUGGUUAUCCCUGGUGGUCCUUACCCAGUGGCUUGGAUGACCUGAACGUUUACUUUUGAAAAAUUAAAGUGGUUAAAGCAAGCCAACCGCCCUAAUAAUUGUGCAUGGAAUAAUAAAAUAAGACUUCCGGUCUAUUUUGUUGGUUUUCGGAACUCCAGGUAAUGAUUAAGAAGGAACAAACGGGGGCAUUCUAUUGCGAACUUAGAAGGUAAAAUUCUGGAUCGUCGCCAGAACCACCAACUGCGAAAGCAUUUGCCCAGAAUGGUUUCAUUAAUCCAGAACCGAAAGUUAGAGGUUCGAAGCGAAUCAGAUACCGCCCUAAGUUCUAACCGUAAACCAUGCCAGCCCAGCGAUCCGCGGAAGUUAAUUUCAUGACUUCGCGGGCAGCCUUCAGGAAAACCAAAGCUUUUGGGUUCCGGGGGAAGUAUGUUGCAAAUCCUGAAACUUAAAGGAAUUGACCGAAGGGCACCACCAGGAGUGGAGCCUGCGGCUUAAUUUGACUCAACGCGGGGAAACUCACCCGGCCCGGACACCGUAAGGAUUGACAGAAUGAGAGCUCUUUCUUGAUUCGGUGGUUGGUGGUGCAUGGCCGUUCUUAGUUGGUGGAGCGAUUUGUCUGGUUAAUUCCGAUAACGAACGAGACUCUAGCCUACUAAACUAGGCAAUGGAUUUAGAUUGUUCAUUGAACUUCUUAGACGGACAGAGGGUGUCUAGCCCUACGAGAUUGAGCAAUAACAGGUCUGUGAUGCCCUUAGAUGUUCGGGGCUGCACGCGCGCUACACUGAAAGAAUCAAUGUGCUUGAAAACCUUGCCCGGAAGGGCUGGGUAACCCGGUGAAACUCUUUCGUGCUUGGGAUAGGGACUUGCAAUUAUUUCCCUUGAACGAGGAAUUCCUAGUAAGUGUGGGUCAUCAUCUCGCGUUGAUUACGUCCCUGCCCUUUGUACACACCGCCCGUCGCUACUACCGAUUGGAUGAUUUAGUGAGGCCCUCGGACUGGUACCAGCGCGACCUCACGGCUGCGCUGGACUCUGGGAAGAAGGCCUAACUUG